CCUACGGGAGGCAGCAGUGGGGAAUAUUGCACAAUGGGGGAAACCCUGAUGCAGCGACGCCGCGUGAGUGAAGAAGUAUUUCGGUAUGUAAAGCUCUAUCAGCAGGGAAGAAACCCACCCUCCGGGGUGGCUGACGGUACCUGACUAAGAAGCCCCGGCUAACUACGUGCCAGCAGCCGCGGUAAUACGUAGGGGGCAAGCGUUAUCCGGAUUGACUGGGUGUAAAGGGAGCGUAGGUGGCAAGGCCAGUCAGAUGUGAAAACCCGGGGCUCAACCCCGGGAGUGCAUUUGAAAAUGUCUGGCUAGAGUGCAGGAGAGGUAAGUGGAAUUCCUAGUGUAGCGGUGAAAUGCAUAGAUAUUAGGAGGAACACCAGUGGCGAAGGCGGCUUACUGGACUGUAACUGACACUGAGGCUCGAAAGCGUGGGGAGCAAACAGGAUUAGAUACCCCUGUAGUC
rnacentral:rRNA from 1 species